rnacentral:snRNA from 1 species
AUACUUAGCUGGCAGGGGAGAUACCAUGAUCCUGAAGGUGGUUUUCCCAGGGUGAGGCUCUUCCAUUGCACUGCGGGUGUGCUGACCCCUGCGAUUUCCCCAAAUGCGGGAAACUCGACUGCAUUAUUUGUGGUAGUGGGGGACUGUGUUAGUGCUUUCCCCUG